rnacentral:rRNA from 1 species
CGGCAACAGCUCAAAUUUGAAAUCUGGCUUCGGCCCGAGUUGUAAUUUGCAGAGGAAGCUUUGUGCGCGGCACCAACUGAGUCCCCUGGAACGGGGCGCCACAGAGGGUGAGAGCCC